rnacentral:lncRNA from 1 species
ACCAACUUAUAUUAUCCAAACAAUCUCUAAAUCAAAUAGCAGUUGAAGGUCAUUUCCAAAAGUUGAAGGGAAUUUCUAGAAUUUCUGAAGGAAUAGAGACGUGAAUGUAAUUGACCAAAACAUUAGCUCGCAGCAGAUAGCUGAUAGCUCCGAUCUCUUUGCUUCAAGACGGAAAUUACUGAACUGAGAGAAGUACAGCGAACAUGUUCGGAAGGAGAAGAUUUUUGUCGUUUCCGCUGGUAAUUGGCGCUGUAAUGUAAGUUUUUAUUACCCUUCCUCCAUACAAGUUUUGCUUAAGAUUAACAGAUGAUAUGCAUCAGUAUGGAUUCAUAUUCCGUCAAGGAUAUUGCUCCGUACCGCUCUUCAAACAACCAAGAGGAAAAUCACAAAAAAAGCCCAUUAUAUUUGGUGUUCUGGGUUUUCUUAAAUCAUGAAUUGGAGCAAAGGUGUUUGAAGAAAUGUCUAAAUGAAACUACCCUCUUCCCCUGCCCAGAACAUCAAAGAGGCAAAACCAGAUAAAGCCCAUAAACCGGAAGUUCCAUUUUUUCAUGAUCAUCUAGUGAAGAUAACGUGCUCGAAGAAAUGUCAUACUAAUGUUUUCAUCAAUGCGCAAGAUAUAAAGAGAUUUCCCUUCAUCUAAUGAUUAAAAGGAUAAAGAAUUUCUAUUGUUGGUUGUUCAGUUGUUAGUGUUCUGUUAUUUAUUGAUAGCUUCAGGUGUGGUAUAGGUUCAAGUCUCAAAGUAGUGUCUUGUAGAGGCCACUCUUGGCCUGUCCUAAAUCUAAUGUGCUGUUCGCUUUCCCUUGAUAUUUGCGAUUCCUCUUGUUCCUCCAACAAUCUAAGUCUGUGCUUAGCUUGCUUCACCUGCCUAGACAAAAUUCUGGACUUCCGGAAAGCUGAAGACAUCAACAUGAUAGGUGCCCGCAAUCUAUCCUUUAGAGCAACUAAAAUUAAGCUUAAAACCUCAAUAAAAUAUCUAUGCAUUUUUGGGGAUCGACAAUAAGGAGUAUGAGACAAUCCACUAGAUGUGGUUUCUCCUUCCUUAUUCACAGCUGGACCUCGAUCACUGGAUCAAUGAAUUCCUUGACCAAUGGCUGAAAGUGAAUUGGAGAACAUCCUCUAAAGCUCCCCGCCAAAAGAUAUUGAGAGAAAAAGAAGAGAAGUAAAAGAAAAACCUGCUUUCCUUCUCACUUUUACCCCUUUGUCUUCCUAGCUUCUGGUAUAUGUACCUUUUGACAAGUUUCUGCUGCUAUGGCUGUCAGACAAUGUGACAAUGUGAUUUUUGAUAUAUUUGGUGUAUGGUUGCCAAGUAUGCAUUUUUGCAUCUGUGGUGUAUUUACUAAUGUGCAUUUUGACAUAUUGACAAGUUAGAUACAGAGAAGAAGUUUAUCAAAGAAAAAUAAAAGAAUCAUUAAUAGAGUUCUGCCAUUGCCCUUAACAGGUUGAAGCUGCCGGCAUCCAUAGUACUGCACUGUGCAUCUACGUCUUAUACUCAGAGAUAAGUAAAGGAGCAUUUUUCCAUCUAAUUAAAGAUAAAAAAUAGGUGUUGUUUUCAACAUCUUUUUGGAUGGGGUUAUGCCUCUGAGUGUGUGUUCGGGUUGCUUAGCUGGGCACAGCGUUUUACUAACUUAGAUUCAGGUCAAGCAUAUAAAUGCGGAUGGAUGCCUUUUUUGUCCAAGAGAAGAGUGAAAAUAUUUUUUUUGCGUAGACACCAGAUGUAAGUGCAUAACCGCAGUAGUAUUUAGCUCUUAUCCGUUGAACCUUCAAUGAACAUUAAUAACUUAUAUACUCAACCUGAAUGGAUAUCAUUAAAUUUGUCAAACUUCGUGUUUCAUUUUCCUCUUUUCUUUGACAACAUUUUGAUUUUGAGGGGCCUUGCUAGAGAUAAGGAUGUCUUGUGUUUCUUAAGAGUUAUUGCUGCCUCUUUUAGCCUUCAAGAUACUUAACAGUGAAUUUGUUAGUACUCCCUUGUAGCACUAGCAAAUAACUGCUGCAUAAUAUGCCUUUCUAUUCCUCUUCUUCCUUGUUUGCUGUAAUGAUACUUCUACUGGUACUUUUGACAUUCUAAUCUCUUGAAAGUAUUGGUAGCCUGCCUUUUCUUGAAUCAUUACCUUUUGAUGAACUCUGCCCUUUUCUCAGCUGGGUUUUUGUAAGCCACGAUUAUCCCCUCAAAAAAAUGCUAAGCAGAUUAAUGAGAAUGUGUAUGCGAUGACUUUGUUCGAACCUAAGUAAAAUUUCUGGAGUAAGUUGUUCAUAAUAGAGGUAACAAUUAUGGGAGAUUAAAUAUAGUGUAUUCUUCCAGUGUUGCAGCUUUAUCCCUUUCUUGAACAGAGCAGUUGCUGAUAUGGCUUUGGCAUCUGCAUUGUGAAGUUUAUUCCUUGGAGCUCAGAAGUUACAACUUAUGUCCUCUAGACUAGAGCGAAUAAUGUAGCACCUUUUACUUGAAUUAUGUUUUUACUUCCAUUAGCCUGAUCUUUUACUUGGCCAAUCUGUAGAAUUGGAGUUGUAUCUGGGAAAGCUAUAUUUGCACAACCACUUGAUGAAUACUGGAAGAAGAAACAUCAGGAAGAACCAGCAGCAAAAGAAAACGACGGAAGCACCUCAUAGUGUUCGAUGGGACGCCCAUCUGAGCUGAAUACCGUUGUAUUUUUCUGUUGGCAGUUGAUCUUUAGAAAUGCUUUGUGCAUCCACAUCCUCAUCCAAAUAGUUUAUGACACCAAGCUUUGGAAAUUUCACCCCUCAGUUGCUUCUAUGAGACUACCCAUCAAACUCAUCCACUUCUUUUCUUGUUGAAAUAUAUACGCAAAAACAACCAUUGGAGCAGUACAGCUUAGGAGAUAUAUUACAUGACAAUUUGGAUAAAUUUGUCCCUAUGUUGCUUUACCUUUCUUUUAUUUUCUUCCUCUUCUCUGCUUACUGCAUCUGACUUGUGCAGCCUGAAACUUGAAAGUCAUCCUCUUAAAAUAUUUGUAUGGAGAACCAAAAUUGAUCAUCUUAGAAAGCAUGGUAAUGACUGAAUGUAAUAGCAUGAAGCAUAUGUAUUCAUUUUUAAUUUUGAAGGAUGGCACAAGGGUGCGUCUCAUUUUUGGUCACGGAGUUUAUUCUGUUAUGCACAGGUUUGGCCCAUGAUCAGUCUGAUCUCUAUUGGGAAUGGAAUGAAAUAUAUUGAACUAUACAACACGUGCUGAACGCGUGAACUUACAGUGGAACUGAUAUCUGAAUGUUGAAAUGUAUGUCAAAUUUAUAAAUCCUUAGCAAUGCCACGAAUAGAGGAGUUUUCUUAAUACGGAUAUCUCAUUCAUAAAUAUUUUGGUUAAAUGAGGCCUUCUUAAGGGUACCUGUAUUUUUGCAGCCUAAUUUGUUGGUUUGGUCCCUGGACCCCGCGGAGCUUAGUGCACCGGAUUGCCCUUUUUUGGUCCAAUGAUAAACCUGUAGGUCUAAAAGAAAGGUAUCAACUCUUGAG